CACGUAGGGUGCGAGCGUUGUCCGGAAUUAUUGGGCGUAAAGAGCUCGUAGGCGGUGUGUCGCGUCGGCCGUGAAAACCUGCAGCUUAACUGUGGGCUUGCGGUCGAUACGGGCAUCACUGGAGUUCGGCAGGGGAGACUGGAAUUCCCGGUGUAGCGGUGAAAUGCGCAGAUAUCGGGAAGAACACCCGUGGCUAAGGCGGCUCUCUAGUACGGUACUGACGCUGAGACGCGAAAGCGUGGGGAGCGAACAGG
rnacentral:rRNA from 1 species